rnacentral:rRNA from 1 species
CCUACGGGAGGCAGCAGUCGAGAAUCAUUCACAAUGGGGGAAACCCUGAUGGUGCGACGCCGCGUGGGGGAAUGAAGGUCUUCGGAUUGUAAACCCCUGUCAUGUGGGAGCAAAUUAAAAAGAUAGUACCACAAGAGGAAGAGACGGCUAACUCUGUGCCAGCAGCCGCGGGAAUACAGAGGUCUCAAGCGUUGUUCGGAAUCACUGGGCGUAAAGCGUGCGUAGGCUGUUUCGUAAGUCGUGUGUGAAAGGCGCGGGCUCAACCCGCGGACGGCACAUGAUACUGCGAGACUAGAGUAAUGGAGGGGGAACCGGAAUUCUCGGUGUAGCAGUGAAAUGCGUAGAUAUCGAGAGGAACACUCGGGGCGAAGGCGGGUUCCUGGACAUUAACUGACGCUGAGGCACGAAGGCCAGGGGAGCGAAAGGGAUUAGAUACCCCAGUAGUC